UUAACUAUUAUAUAAUACUCAGACGACACUAAUAUUCAGAGUUUGGGGGUCCUUUGGCGGGCACUCACCAGCCGGAGCCAGUGGCCGAAGCGGCCCGCCAAAGCAACAAAGGUAUAAGUAUUCAAGGGUGGGAGAUCUACCCGUGAGGGCAUGAACUCUGUAAUGAUCCUUCCGCAGGUUCACCUACGGAAA
rnacentral:misc_RNA from 1 species